GGGAGCUUGUUAAAAUGCAGAUUCUGAUUCAGCAGGUCUGGGAUGGAACCUGGGAUUCUGCAUGUUUAACAAGCUC
rnacentral:miRNA from 1 species